UACGGAGGAUGCAAGCGUUAUCCGGAAUGAUUGGGCGUAAAGCGUCCGCAGGUGGCUAUGUAAGUCUGCUGUUAAAGAGUGAGGCUCAACCUCAUAAGAGCAGUGGAAACUACAUAGCUAGAGUGCGUUCGGGGCAGAGGGAAUUCCUGGUGUAGCGGUGAAAUGCGUAGAUAUCAGGAAGAACACCGGUGGCGAAAGCGCUCUGCUAGGCCGCAACUGACACUGAGGGACGAAAGCUAGGGUAGCGAACGGG
rnacentral:rRNA from 1 species